GUCUUCAGACACAGCAGAAGAGGACAUCGGAUCUCAUUACAGAUGGUUGUGAGCCACCAUGUGGUUGCUGGGAUUUGAACUCAGGACCUCUGGGAGAGCAGUCAGUGCUCUUAACCCCUGAGCCAUCUCUCCAGCCCGAGAAAUCCUGUUUGAGGGGAGGUAGGGGGGUAGAAUUAAAAACAAAAGUACAAAGAAAAAGGGUCGGGUUCCACAGCAAUGAACAUGGUACCUCUCCCUCUCCCCUCUAGGGAAAAUGCCGAUUUUUAUUUGUUUGUUUGUUUGUUUAGGCAGGUUCUGUCUACAUAGCCCUGGCUGGCCUGAAACCAAAAUCCUCCUGCCUCUGUCUCACAGAGUUCUGGUGUUAGAGGUGUGUGUGCCUCCACACAAAGCCCUAGAGGAAGUGACUUUGAAACUAAGAUUGGGAGAAAAAGUGCAAGCUGGGGAGGGAAGAGCAGGGGCUGUGCUCUGUUGGUAGAAUGUUGACCUAGUGUGCACGCAGCCCUGGGCUUCGUACCCAGCGAGCCAUACACCAGGCUUGGUGGCCACGGAGGAUCUUUCCAAGUCACCUCAGUUUCACAAGGUAAAGAAAGGACAGGUCUGAAGAACCGCAGAGACAAAAGCCCAGAGGCCAAAGCGCUGUAAGUUCAGCCUGGCCACAGGGGAGGGUGUCAGAAGAGGGAAGGCUGAGUCACUUCCUGGUCCUCAGCUGACCAAGGGACUCAUACCCAGUCUUCCAUGCUCAAGGGUAAGGAAUUAGCUUGAAGAGAGGUGACGGAUAAUCAAGGAGGAUCGUCCCAGAGGAGGGGACCUACAUACAAGUAUCUCACGGAAGUCGGGUGUGUGGUAACACACUUUUAGUCUCGGCACUCGGGAGGCAGAGGCAGACAGAUCUCGGAGUCCAUGGCCAGCCUGGUCUACAGAGGGAGUUCCCAGACAGCCAGGCUACAGGAAGAAACCUUGUCUCAAAAAGCAAAAAGCAAGCAAGCAAACAAACAAACAAACAAAAAUCUCAGGACAAGGAAAAAGCUAAGGUGUUCCCUUUGGCCAGAGCCUGGUAGGGAGAGAGAGGGGAGGAGCCUUGGCUAGAAAUAGAGACCCAGGCCACAGCCUCCUAUGUCUUCCUGAGUGACUUUAGGGCUGUCAAUAGGGAGCUAUAGAAGGAUUUUAUACAGAGGAAUGUCCCACUCUUGGUUGGAACAUGGAAAAAACUUGCCCUAGGAUGUUCUUUUCUUUUCGGAGCUGGGGACCGAACCCAGGGCCUUGCGCUUGCUUGGCAAGCGCUCUACCACUGAGCUAAAUCCCCAACCCCUGCCCUAGGAUGUUCUUGAAGGUCCUGAAAGAGGACCCUAGGACUUCACAGGACCUCUGAGGAGGGAAGGGUGAGGGUGGAGUGUCUAUGAGGGCCAAGUUCAAUCAUCGGAAUUUUCUUUCCAAAACAAAACAAAGCAACCCCCCCCCCCUUUGAGAACCUGGCCCCCCUCCACACACAGCCGUAACAGGGAGAUUGGGAAACUCCUUUGUCAGAGGAACCUCAGAGAAAUGAAGUGGCAAGGCCAGCUGAGGUUUGGGGGGGGAGGGGCUUGUGGAGAGAGAAGAGAGUGAGAUUCCAUGAGACAAGUGAGUGUGUGGUCCUCACACCAGACCACUGCCAGACACAGGGGUCUGGUCUCAGCUCACUGCUGGAUCAAUGACUCAAGAGGUCUCCUCUCCCAGGACAUGGGCACUGAAAAGUUCAUCUCCUCAUGCACAGAGUGUGGUCCAUAGAGCUGAAGCGAAACGGCUCUAGCCACAGGCAAAUCGGUGGUAUGAUCAAGGUCAGUGGGGAAAACUAGGAUAAAGCAGUUCCCAUAUGCAAACCAACAAAGGGGUCCCGUUUGUUCCUUUGUUGUCUGUUUGACAGGCUCUCCUGUAUCCCAGGCUGGUCUGGAAUUUGCUGAGGAUCCAACCUAGGGAGGGUCUCAUGCUCAUUAGGCAAGCAUUCUACCACUGAGCUACAUCCCCAGUCCAGAUGUUUGCUUGGUUUUUCUUUUUGUUUUCUUUGCUGUUGUCUCUUUCAAAUAGGGUCUUUCUGUGUUGGUAGGCUUGCCUCAAACUCGCCGCCAGCCUCCUCCCUUCCAAGAGUUGGGAUUCUGGGAGCUUCAUGCAGCCUGUCAAUCAACCAAGUACAGUCAAGCAUACAGGUCCGGAGGGCGGGAUUCUUGUUCCGAGUGCGACGACGUGAGGGAGACAAGGGCUGUGGUCUCCCACUCCUGCAGUACUUUUAACUUUUAAGUUUGGGGUUGGGGGAAGAGGAGAGAUGUGUUAAAGGGGAUGAGUGGAUAGGCGUGGCUGCCUCUGGGACUUUCCUCAUUGAGAUCAGAGUCCCCGAAAUAGCUGCACUGGGUGAGAGGCUGGGUCACACCCUCUGUGUCUCCUGCUGCAGAGAGCGGUCCCACAAUAGUGCUGAUCCCCUCGGUUGUCAUUCCCGCCCCGCCCCCCGCCCCAGAGGCAGGAGCUGUUUGGCCCUGUCCCCUGAAGAUGCUGGGGCGUUCGUAGAAGCCUUCUGUCGCUUUGCCUCAUCAGGUCAACUGCUACAGAGGCGAGCUUCGUGAAGCUGUCCAUAACCGCCAAUCAGGAAGUAAAAACUCAUUCGGGCCAAGCCCCCGACAUGACGUCAGCCCGUAGUCCCAGAAACCACGCCUUGCCAAAGGAGGGCACUGGUGGGAUUAUGACUGUGGACUUCCUGAGGGUAAAAAGUUUCAUGUUAGUUAUGCAUAUCAUAAUUGCCCUUGGCUGGAGAGACGGCUCAGGGUUUUAGAGCACGCACUAAUCUUCCAAAGGACCUGAGUUCGAUUCCCAUCACCCACAACAGCACAUGCAAAUAUACUGCAUAGUUAACAAUAAUGACCAAACAUACACAUAAGUAAGAAUAAUAAUGAGAAUAGAGGGCUGGAGAGAGAUGGCUCAGUGGUUAAGAGCACUGGCUGCUCUUCCAAAGGACCUGAGUUCAAUUCCUAGCACACACAUAUUAGCUCACAACUAUCUGUUAAUCUCGGGGAUCUGUUGCCUUCCUCUGGCCCCCAAGGGUAUUAGACACACAUGUGGUGCAAAAUACCCAAACAAACAAAUUAAUUAAAUGAAAUUAAAACAAUUAAGUGCCCUAGGUCAGGGUGAGGUAUGAUGGUCCAUGCCUUUAAUCUGAGCACUCCGAGAGGCAUUGGCCUGGGGAUCUCUGAGUUCAAAACCAGGUUUGGACACAUAGGGAACUCCAGGCCAUCUAAGGCUAAGUAGUGAGAUCCUGUCUCAAAUAUAAAAUAAAAUGAAACAGCCCCAAGAAAUAUAGGCAAAGCAAAAAGGUUCCCAACAAUAUAUUUUCACCACAUGGGGGGGCAGGGGGAGAGUCCAGGGCACUGUGCAUGGUAAGUACAAGCCCUGAGCAUUAUCUUCUGACCUCUCUUUACUCUUUGUUUGUUUAAGAGUGGUUCUCGAGGGGUUGGGGAUUUAGCUCAGUGGUAGAGCGCUUGCCUAGGAAGCGCAAGGCCCUGGGUUCUGUCCCCAGUUCUGAAAAAAAGAACCAAAAAAAAAAAAAAAAAAAAAAAAAAAGAGUGGUUCUCGAUCUGUCACUCAGGUAGACCUUGAACUUGUGAUCUUCUUGCUUUAGUCUCCAGGUUCCUGGAAUGAUCAACCUGAAUCAUCAAGCCCAGCUCAGUGUGUACAUACGUAUGUGUGCACAGACAGGAAUGAGGGAACCAGAGGUUGAUACUGGAUGCCGUUCUCAGUCCCUCUCCACCUUAGUUUUUUUCCAAAUUUUUAUUUAUUUAUUUAUUUAUUUAUUUAUUGUAGGUGAGUACACUGUAGCUGUCUUCAGACACACCAGAAGGGAGCAUUGGACCCCAUUACAGAUGGUUGCGAGCCACCAUCUGUUGCUGGGAUUUGAACUCAGGACCUCUGGAAGAGCAGUCAGUGCUCUAACCACUGAGCAAUCUCUCCAGCCCCCAUCUUAGUUUUUGACACAGGCUCUCUCACUGAACCUGGCUAGUCCAGUUGGCCGUCAAGCCCCAGGGAUUCUGUGUCUACCUCCCCAGCCCUGGGAUUACAGGCACAUGACGUCACACUAGGCUGUUUUCCAUGGUUCUGGAAGACCUAGCUUCUAGUUUUACGCUUGUGUGACAAGCACUUCACUGACUUGAGUCAUCUACCCAGUCUUGGCCUUUUAUUUUUAUUUUGUUUGUUUGGACACAAGGUUGCACUGCAUAACCCAGUCUGACUUCAAAGUCUGAAUCCUGCUGUCUUAUGCCCCUGACCACUGGGAUACAGAAGUGGACCAUUGUAUUCACCCAUAACUUUUUAACAAGAAUAGACACUGGGGACCUAUAAUAGGAGGACCUUACAGGUGUCUUCCAGGGGGCUGGAGAGAUGGCUCAGUGAUUAAGAGCACUGACUGCUCUUCCAGAGGUCCUGAGUUCAAUUCCCAGCAACCACAUGGUGGCUCACAACCAUCUGUAAUGGAAUCUAAUGCCCUCUUCCGGUGUGUCUGAGGACAGCUACAGUGUACUUACAUAUAAUAAAUAAACAAAUCAGGGACUGUAAAUAGAUUUGCAUUAUACACAAAUCAUAUACAAAUACUAGGACUGAGGUUGUUAGCUCACUGGUGGCAGGCAUGUCUAGCAUGUACACGCCCCGGGGUUUCAUUCCCUGAACUUCAGAACAAUAUUUGUUCUAGGCUGAACAGUUGAUGGUGGGUGAGGAGGGUGGGUUAGUCAGAGGGAAGUUACAGUGGCCUGGCACAGUGGUUGUAAUGAGACAUGACUCAUGGAGUCCCUUCGGUUUCAAGAAACUGUUCUAGGCAGGCUUUCCGGGAUAAAUGCUGGUUAUCUGCCUUAGGAAAGUUAAUUAACCUCUCUGUGCUUUGGUGGAAUGCCUAAGAAUAUUCCGGAGGAUGGCUGUAAGGGUUAACAUGUGCAGGAUGCCGGAUAUGUGGACUUGGAGAUAAGUUCUGAGGUUAGGAUCUCGGGUGCCCCUGGCAGUGGUGGAUGCUGAAAGCUGAAUGCCCCAUUGGCUCAUCAAGAGUUCCUGCUCAGACAGUUCUUCACAGGAAGCCACAGGCCUCUUCUGCUUCAGCAACCUCCAGCUGCUGCUGGCCCAGGCCCCUUUCCAGGCCAGCCUAGUAACGCCCGGUUCUCAGCAUUUCCCUCUACCGCCUGCCAAGAAGCCUGUGCGAGCUGGGAACCGAACCCAGGGCCUUGCACUCACUAGGCAAGAGCUCUACCGCUGAGCUAAAUCCCCAACCCCCAAAAUAAAAUCUUAUAACUGGG